GUCAACGUUCGUACCACGUGACGUCGUGCUCGCCGUCGCGCGGGCGGUGAGCGUCUGGUGCGUGCGUGCGUGUUGUGGACUUCGCUCGCGAAACUGCAGCGGUGAGUGCUGGUGGUAUACCUGCCGCUGGCAAAGGGCCUGUGAAGCCGUGAUGCCUCGACCCACCGAUCUACUGUGUUCCAGACGCGAUGCAGCGGCGUAUCGCCGGUGGGAGGAGUAGCCGUACCGCUGUCUCCACAUCUACAGCAAAUUUCAAAACCUGUGCCUUCGGCUCGAUAUACCUUUACCAUCAUAUGUGCUGAAAGCCUUCGACGUGCCAAACGCAUUCGUGUAGCCUGCAUCUGAAUCGAAUCGGCGACGCCACCUGGAGAACGAACAAGGAAGUUAGCAAGGCGUGUCUUAACGCUAGCGCCUAAACGCUUUUUUCCGCCUGCGAACAAGCCUGAAGCUCUCGUCUAUACGCGUUUCGAAGCUGCGAUUCGCGCUCAACCCGACGGCCGGAUUACUUGUAGGCAAGUGCCCGGUUUGUGACUAGUAGACCCGACGCUGUCUUUCUCUUGUUGGUACACGGGGUGGCUGUUUUUUCUUUCUCGGCGCGGCUAUGAUAUGCAAAUUAGAAAGCCCGUUGAACCUGUCUCCGAACGGCUGCGCACGGUACCACGUAUAAGGAACGCACAGGGUUAUAUACACGGAAGCUCGUAAAUGGAGAUUAUCUGGCUUCUCCGAUAAACCUGGCGGAAGAGGAGCGACCGACAAGCGAGUCAAAAAAGCUUCGCCCUUACUUCUCCACGUUUUGAACCGGAAGUCAAAACGACAAGGCUUCGAGACUAGAGGCUCCCCCUUUUUUUUUUUCUUCUUCUUCAUCAAGGCGACUUCUGUGAAUCGCUCUAAAUUGUGAUUCUGCGCAAGGGUUUCUCUCUCCUCCAAGUUGUUUUAUUGUCGCUGUUGUUGUUAUUGUGGUGCUGCUGUUGGCAACCGUCGGUGGUUGUGGUGCGUGUUUUACGUGGAGUGUGCCUUCGCGGCGUUCGCCCAGUGGAUCUUGUUCUUCUUCUUGACCUGCGGUGGAUGUGCUUCUACCGUGGGGGCCGUCUGAGCGGAUUUACUAAGUCGCCUCGCUGUGACGUACUCCUUCGUCUAA